UUUCUGGCAAAGGUUGGAUGGAAUUUUGUGAACUCAUAAACCCAUAUAAAACGCAAGGAAAACCCUAAUCCUGUAACGACAUCAACAAGGAGAAGAGAGGAGAUGGAGUUUGCUGUUACAAAUCCGUCGAAUUGCCUAAUUUCUCUGAAACCUUCAACCAGAGCAAAACCACUGAAGAAUCUUUUCACUGUAAAAUGUUAUGCUUCUCCUGACGGGGUCGCCUCUGGUGUUGUGGAGAGGCCUUGGAAAAUUUCCGAUGCUAGACUUGUGCUUGAAGAUGGCUCGAUUUGGAAGGCCAAGUCAUUUGGUGCUAGAGGAACACAAGUUGGUGAAGUGGUGUUUAACACAUCUUUGACAGGGUAUCAAGAAAUACUUACUGAUCCUAGUUAUGCUGGUCAGUUUGUCCUAAUGACAAAUCCACAUAUUGGAAACACUGGUGUAAAUUUUGACGAUGAAGAAUCAAACCAGUGCUUUCUUGCUGGUCUGGUUAUAAGGAGCUUAAGCAUCAGUACUUCAAAUUGGAGAUGCACUGAAGCACUUGGUGAUUAUCUAGCAGCAAGGAAUAUCAUGGGAAUAUAUGAUGUUGACACCCGUGCAAUCACCCGGAGAUUGAGGCAAGAUGGAAGCCUUAUUGGUGUACUGAGCACAGAAGAAUCCAAGACAGAUAAGGAACUUCUGGAGAUGUCCCACUCAUGGGACAUUGUUGGUGUUGAUUUAAUAAGUGGCGUCUCAUGCACUGCCCCUUAUGAAUGGGUUGAUAAAACAAAACCAGAGUGGGAUUUUAACACCAAUGGGGGAGGAGAGGUCUACCGUGUUGUUGCAUAUGAUUUUGGGAUCAAGCACAAUAUACUGAGGCGCUUAGCAUCUUAUGGCUGUAAAAUCACUGUGGUCCCUUCGAAGUGGCCUGCAUUAGAAACUCUGAAGAUGAAGCCAGAUGGAGUUCUUUUCAGCAAUGGCCCAGGAGACCCAUCUGCUGUUCCUUAUGCUGUUGAAAUGGUUAAGGAAAUAUUGGGAAAAGUACCCGUAUUUGGAAUUUGUAUGGGCCACCAAUUGCUUGGCCAGGCAUUGGGUGGUAAGACCUUUAAAAUGAAGUUUGGUCACCAUGGAGGAAAUCAUCCAGUUCGUAACAUUCGGGGUAGUCGUGUUGAGAUUAGUGCUCAGAAUCACAACUAUGCAGUUGAUCCUGCAUCACUUCCUGAGGGUGUGGAAGUGACUCACAUCAAUCUCAAUGAUGGAAGCUGUGCAGGUCUUGCUUAUGCUCAACUAAACAUCAUGUCUCUUCAGUACCAUCCUGAGGCAUCCCCAGGGCCUCACGAUUCAGAUACUGUUUUUGGGGAAUUCAUAGAGCUAAUGAAACGAGCCAAACAAAAAGCUUAGAUUUGAUCUACAAAUAUUGAUGAUUGAAGUGUAUUCAACACUACAGUGAUAUUUUAGAUGGCUGUGCUUGUGAUGGCCUUUGCUCCUCGUUUAAGUUCACCCUCAGUUAAUGCUUGCAGAUUAAAGUAAUCAGGUGUCUCAUUGUCAUAGUUUCAUUAGUAUUUUUCUUGAUAUUUGAGAACAUUUAUCAGUUUGCUUCAUUGUCUUUGAUUGUUAUAGAGGGUUGAAUAACUUUGACAGUGUAUUAGAUUAAGAUAAUAUUUAGGUACUCUCAGUUUAUAAAGACAACCAACAAAAUGUUCAAGAAUGGGAAGGGAGUGAUGCAAGACAACUCUUAGUCUAAAGGGGUCUCAAGGGUAAUAAAAUUUUCGCCCUUUUCAUUCUGUCUGCAAUGUGAGUGUGAUUACUUGUCUUGAAAUGCAACUAUAGAAAACUGAAUGAAGAAACCCCCAUCAUUAGAGGAACAUUCCUCCUCAAAUGCUGAUUAUCUUUUUUCUUGUUUAUGUGGAAAAUUAGUUAUUUAUCUUCCUUAAAAACACCUAUUAGAGGAGGAAUAAAGUAGUGC
rnacentral:misc_RNA from 1 species